rnacentral:rRNA from 1 species
UACGUAGGGUGCAAGCGUUAUCCGGAAUUAUUGGGCGUAAAGAGCUCGUAGGCGGUUUGUCGCGUCUGCCGUGAAAGUCCGGGGCUCAACUCCGGAUCUGCGGUGGGUACGGGCAGACUAGAGUGAUGUAGGGGAGUCUGGAAUUCCUGGUGUAGCGGUGAAAUGCGCAGAUAUCAGGAGGAACACCGAUGGCGAAGGCAGGUCUCUGGGCAUUAACUGACGCUGAGGAGCGAAAGCAUGGGGAGCGAACAGG